rnacentral:misc_RNA from 1 species
AUAUUAUUUAAUGUUUUAAACAACAAUAUAUAGCAAGCACAUACUUUAUAAAUUAUAUUACAUUGCUUAGAAACGUGAAAGUAUUUAACUCAAACAUUUGCUUCAAAUUGAAAGGUACAAUCUGCAGAAGUAUAAAUAGUAAUAAUAGAUAACAUUAUUAUUCUUAUUCUUAGAUCUUGUAACGGGACAAUGCAGAAGUUCCAUCUAGGCCUCUGUUAUGGAGGUAACUAGUGUGGUCUUUCACUGUGGUUGCGCGAUAUUUUGGAGGAUUAUCUUCUGAUAACAAUUCAGUUAUCGGUCCAUAAAGCUUGGAAGAUUGAUAUGGACUUUCACCGAAGAAGCACGUGAUUGACAUUCUUGAUCCAACAUUGUUUGAGAUUGCUCUGUGCUCGACACUUAAGUACUUGUCAUUUGACAAGAGCUGCAGAAAAUCUCCAAUAUUCACCACUAGAGAACCGGGUGUAGGAGGAACAUCAACCCAAUGAUUCUGGUGAAGAACUUGGAGCCCUCCCAUAUCAUCUUGUAGAAGGAUCGUUACAAAACCAAUAUCGGUAUGUUGAAUGGUGCCCAUGGUGAGUUCUGGCUGAGGACAUGGUGGGUAGUAGUUGCAAGAACAGAAAAGAUGAAAACAAUCCAUAUAAUCUUUGAGAUAACUACGAUCGAGACCGAGACCUUCAGACAAUAAUUCAAGUAAAGUGAAUCCCAGUUUCUUCACAUCCUUGGAGAAGUCUAUUAAUGACUCCCCGCAUGGAGUUGGAAAUUCUUGUAGACUGGGAGGAUUCGGAGCCAUGUAACAGAAAAUCGUGUCUCUCCAACUUGCAGCUGGAACAGAAGAUUUAUACAAAUCAAGAUUGCUAAUAUAAACCACUUUUUUCGCAGUAUCUCGAGUGUAAUACUGUUUCUUAACCUCGUUAUCUUGCUCAAAGAACUGUCGUGUUCCUUGCAACGUUCUGUCCAAGACGGAUGUUGGAAUCCCAUGAUUAACCACUUGGAAAAAACCCCAUUUCUCCGAUGCAUCUCGAACUUUGUCCACUAUCUCCUUAUGCUUAAUCGGAUCCUCAUCGAUACCUUGAAGGUCUAUCACUGGAAAAACGAAAUGUGUUUCACAUUUUUUAGCCCUGUCUUUUGGCGGUAGAACGAAUAUUUGAGGUACUUUAGUAAUUCCAGAAUCAACAAGUCCUUUAACACCGGCCUUAGUAUCAUCAAACGCUUUUAAUUCACUCAUUUUGUCAUAACUCUCCUCAACUCUAGGGCUUUCCAUCUUUUUUGCACUGUGAAUGAUUAGAAUAAUUUCUAAAAAUCUCAAUAUGAGGAUGCCAUAUUUAUAAUAGAAUAAAAUAAAAUGUGAACAAAGGAAGAGAUAAAGUAGUUCACUUUUUGAAAUCUAAGAGAGACGCG